rnacentral:tRNA from 1 species
GGGCGAGUGGUGGAAUUGGUAGACGCGCCGCACUCAAAAUGCGGUCCUUCGGGGUGCGAGUUCGAGUCUCGCCUCGCCCA